CAUAGGUUAAUGAGGCGAACCGGGGGAACUGAAACAUCUAAGUACCCCGAGGAAAAGAAAUCAACCGAGAUUCCCCCAGUAGCGGCGAGCGAACGGGGAGCAGCCCAGAGCCUGAAUCAGUGUGUGUGUUAGUGGAAGCGUCUGGAAAGGCGCGCGAUACAGGGUGACAGCCCCGUACACAAAAAUGCACAUGCUGUGAGCUCGAUGAGUAGGGCGGGACACGUGGUAUCCUGUCUGAAUAUGGGGGGACCAUCCUCCAAGGCUAAAUACUCCUGACUGACCGAUAGUGAACCAGUACCGUGAGGGAAAGGCGAAAAGAACCCCGGCGAGGGGAGUGAAAAAGAACCUGAAACCGUGUACGUACAAGCAGUGGGAGCACGCUUAGGCGUGUGACUGCGUACCUUUUGUAUAAUGGGUCAGCGACUUAUAUUCUGUAGCAAGGUUAACCGAAUAGGGGAGCCGAAGGGAAACCGAGUCUUAACUGGGCGUUAAGUUGCAGGGUAUAGACCCGAAACCCGGUGAUCUAGCCAUGGGCAGGUUGAAGGUUGGGUAACACUAACUGGAGGACCGAACCGACUAAUGUUGAAAAAUUAGCGGAUGACUUGUGGCUGGGGGUGAAAGGCCAAUCAAACCGGGAGAUAGCUGGUUCUCCCCGAAAGCUAUUUAGGUAGCGCCUCGUGAAUUCAUCUCCGGGGGUAGAGCACUGUUUCGGCAAGGGGGUCAUCCCGACUUACCAACCCGAUGCAAACUGCGAAUACCGGAGAAUGUUAUCACGGGAGACACACGGCGGGUGCUAACGUCCGUCGUGAAGAGGGAAACAACCCAGACCGCCAGCUAAGGUCCCAAAGUUAUGGUUAAGUGGGAAACGAUGUGGGAAGGCCCAGACAGCCAGGAUGUUGGCUUAGAAGCAGCCAUCAUUUAAAGAAAGCGUAAUAGCUCACUGGUCGAGUCGGCCUGCGCGGAAGAUGUAACGGGGCUAAACCAUGCACCGAAGCUGCGGCAGCGACGCUUAUGCGUUGUUGGGUAGGGGAGCGUUCUGUAAGCCUGUGAAGGUGUACUGUGAGGUAUGCUGGAGGUAUCAGAAGUGCGAAUGCUGACAUAAGUAACGAUAAAGCGGGUGAAAAACCCGCUCGCCGGAAGACCAAGGGUUCCUGUCCAACGUUAAUCGGGGCAGGGUGAGUCGACCCCUAAGGCGAGGCCGAAAGGCGUAGUCGAUGGGAAACAGGUUAAUAUUCCUGUACUUGGUGUUACUGCGAAGGGGGGACGGAGAAGGCUAUGUUGGCCGGGCGACGGUUGUCCCGGUUUAAGCGUGUAGGCUGGUUUUCCAGGCAAAUCCGGAAAAUCAAGGCUGAGGCGUGAUGACGAGGCACUACGGUGCUGAAGCAACAAAUGCCCUGCUUCCAGGAAAAGCCUCUAAGCAUCAGGUAACAUCAAAUCGUACCCCAAACCGACACAGGUGGUCAGGUAGAGAAUACCAAGGCGCUUGAGAGAACUCGGGUGAAGGAACUAGGCAAAAUGGUGCCGUAACUUCGGGAGAAGGCACGCUGAUAUGUAGGUGAAGUCCCUCGCGGAUGGAGCUGAAAUCAGUCGAAGAUACCAGCUGGCUGCAACUGUUUAUUAAAAACACAGCACUGUGCAAACACGAAAGUGGACGUAUACGGUGUGACGCCUGCCCGGUGCCGGAAGGUUAAUUGAUGGGGUUAGCGCAAGCGAAGCUCUUGAUCGAAGCCCCGGUAAACGGCGGCCGUAACUAUAACGGUCCUAAGGUAGCGAAAUUCCUUGUCGGGUAAGUUCCGACCUGCACGAAUGGCGUAAUGAUGGCCAGGCUGUCUCCACCCGAGACUCAGUGAAAUUGAACUCGCUGUGAAGAUGCAGUGUACCCGCGGCAAGACGGAAAGACCCCGUGAACCUUUACUAUAGCUUGACACUGAACAUUGAGCCUUGAUGUGUAGGAUAGGUGGGAGGCUUUGAAGUGUGGACGCCAGUCUGCAUGGAGCCGACCUUGAAAUACCACCCUUUAAUGUUUGAUGUUCUAACGUUGACCCGUAAUCCGGGUUGCGGACAGUGUCUGGUGGGUAGUUUGACUGGGGCGGUCUCCUCCUAAAGAGUAACGGAGGAGCACGAAGGUUGGCUAAUCCUGGUCGGACAUCAGGAGGUUAGUGCAAUGGCAUAAGCCAGCUUGACUGCGAGCGUGACGGCGCGAGCAGGUGCGAAAGCAGGUCAUAGUGAUCCGGUGGUUCUGAAUGGAAGGGCCAUCGCUCAACGGAUAAAAGGUACUCCGGGGAUAACAGGCUGAUACCGCCCAAGAGUUCAUAUCGACGGCGGUGUUUGGCACCUCGAUGUCGGCUCAUCACAUCCUGGGGCUGAAGUAGGUCCCAAGGGUAUGGCUGUUCGCCAUUUAAAGUGGUACGCGAGCUGGGUUUAGAACGUCGUGAGACAGUUCGGUCCCUAUCUGCCGUGGGCGCUGGAGAACUGAGGGGGGCUGCUCCUAGUACGAGAGGACCGGAGUGGACGCAUCACUGGUGUUCGGGUUGUCAUGCCAAUGGCACUGCCCGGUAGCUAAAUGCGGAAGAGAUAAGUGCUGAAAGCAUCUAAGCACGAAACUUGCCCCGAGAUGAGUUCUCCCUGACCCUUUAAGGGUCCUGAAGGAACGUUGAAGACGACGACGUUGAUAGGCCGGGUGUGUAAGCGCAGCGAUGCGUUGAGCUAACCGGUACUAAUGAACCGUGAGGCUUAACCUU
rnacentral:rRNA from 1 species